rnacentral:rRNA from 1 species
CUCGAAGGCAGUGGCUCGCACAUCCAUCUCCACGCCUCCUCCUUUCCCCUUUCACACCUCCCCUCAUCUCUCCCUCGUCAACACAGCCGCGACUCCGUUCUCCCUUCCUCUUCACCAUGGAAAACCACCUCCCAGGCGUCGCCAGCAGGAGAGGAGCCGGCUCCGCUCUCCUACGCACCCACACAAACAUCGUCGCCUUGGGUGAGGAGUUCGUGGGAGGAGAAGCCGAGAAGGUCGGGGAGUGGGAGGAGGAGGAGGAGUUAGUUCAGCAGAUCAGCAGCGGCAGUGCCGGGAGAGGAAGGGCCAUGGCGGCGGCGGCUUUCGGACUACGCGUUGAGCGGUAUCUCUCCGUGCCGCCGGGACGGCAAGCCCAUGGAGAAGCGCGGUCACCCCGGUACAUGGCCGUCUUCCAUCUCCAUCUGCUGCUCCCCACUCCUGCCGUCCCAUGGCCUGCGUCGCCGCUUCUUGGUUGUUCCCACCUGCUGAUACUACUCGGAUCCCUUGGCUAUUCAGUUCCUGUCUCCACAUCUUUGCAAAGUUUCCUGAAUGGACUCAAGAGUUAUGACUGUUGAGUUAGCAUCUUUCCAUCAAGAGAUCCGUGAAUAAAAGCGGCCUUUCUGGGAUUGUCAAGGCGGUGUUCAAACCUGGUGGUAAAGACCUACAAAAAGUUUGAGGUGGAAAUUUACGUCCUUGCCAAGGAUGAAGGUGGUCGCCACACUGCCUUCUUCUCAAAUUACAACCCAUAGUUCUACUUCAGGACAGCUGACAUAUGUGGGAAAAUUGAGUUUCCUCCGGACGUGAAGAUUGUUAUGCCUGGUGACAACGUAACUUCAAUCUUUGAGUUGAUGUUGCAUGUUCCACUAGAACCAGGGCUAAGAUUUGUGCUGAGGGAAGGAGGGAGGACCGUCGGCUCCGGAGUCAUUGCCGAAGUCAUGAGCUAAUAACAAAUGUUCCAGACCUUUCUCUUUUUACUUCUCAGUUAAUUCUAUGAUUUUUUUUCUAAGGAUUACAAUGCUGCAAAUCAAAUGUCCACCGUAGGAAAAACAAAUUAAGGUUCUAAAUCCUACAAUUUUUUAAAAUAAAAUUUCUACGAAUCAAAGGAGCCGGUAGAGUAGAAGCAUGCAACACACUAGCUACUUUUGCGUUUGAAGUAUGAGUACGGACAGAAGCAUCCCUCCGACUUAUUAGUGCAUCUCCAACGCCUUGCCGUAAAACGUCCAGGCCGACUUGUUCGGACGCACUUUGCCAUCCAAUGCGGACCAUAUUUCGUCCGUUUUCCCACAAACUGGAAGCAAACCUGGGAGACUGUGUGGGAGUCUAGAUCCCAUUGAAUCAAUAUUUAAGUAGCAGUAAGUAAUGACUACAAACACUCCAUGCAUCUACAGAUCGCUUGCGUCUCUCGCUGUGAAUCUAAUCUUCAGAUUUCUGUUGUCCACCACAAAAUAACUUGAUUAAAGAUACUAUGGGAUCUUGGAGACCUCAGAUGUAGGUGAGGAUGAGAUGCCAGAUAUGAAAUUAUGAAGGAUGAGACAUGUCUGAUGAAGAAGGCUCGGCUAGGAUGAUAAGAGGUACAGGCAGGGGUGCCCAUUUGAAUCUCAAGCAUGCAGAGAAAGCAGGGGUACUUGUUCAAAAGAUUCCAACUAUGAUUGACAACUUGAUAGACAAGACAUUUGCCUGGGAGGAUGAAAGCAAUACACCAUUUCUUUAUGACGUGGUUCACAUGGUUGCCAUUUUGGAAGAGCAAAAACUCAGGAGAGUACAGAAAGAGGAAGAUAAGCGACAAUACCGGAUAUAAAUUCCACAUCCUCUGCACUACACUCACAACAGAAGUCAUCAGUCUUGUUCACUGACUCUUAACAGAGGACCAGAAGAACCUGUACAAUCUAUUGCGUAAAGAGAAUGAGAUGAUAUUUGGGUCCAAGUCUGUUCCGAGGAAGAUAAGCAGUUUUAACAGGAGAACGAGGCUGGUUUCAUGACUCCGAUGCCCACACCCGAGCUUUUGACUCCACGCUCGUACUCUGGACGGUACAACAAUUACUUCAAGGAGAACCGGCGGAUGACGGUGGCACCACUCAACUUCUCGGUGGCUUCCAAGGAUGACAUGUUAUCCUUUGCCUCCAUGAGCGGCUCGGAGCCUGAUUCUCCAUUGGUUUUGCACUGAGCAUAAGACAGCGAUGGGGUGGCGGGCCGCACCUGUGCCCAUGUUGUCACUGACAAUCCACUUGGUCGUCGCCGACUAGGGUUGCCGUGCGGGAACUACGUGUUGACCACGGCGUGCCCGUAUGAUGCUCUACUUUUGAAACCUGCCAUCAGUUCCUUUUGAUUUACUAUUGUCUUUUGUUAUCACUGAUCUUAGUGUCCAUACUGUCACUGUUAGUAUCUAUGUUGUCACUCAUUAUACUGCUCCUGUUUAUACUGCUCCAGUCAGCAACUUGCACCUGUGACUAUUUUCAUAUUACUAUCUUGUUGCUCUCAUGCAAAUACGAUAUGCAACACUAACAAAGCUUGUAUCCAGAAGACUAACCCAAAGAAUAAAAAAGACAGUGGAAGGGGCGCAUCCCACCUGGUACCGCCCCAACUUCCUCUCGGGCGGUGCACCAAGGGUGCACCUCAAUGGUGGUGGAGCUCCCGGUGAUUCAAUGGAUGACUAUGGACGCAUGGCCGAGUCCACCACCAUUGAGUGUAUGUACAAGUUCUGCAGGGCAGUGGUGGCAAUGUUUGGACCUCAAUACUUGCGAUCACCCAAUGCCGGUGAUUCAAUGGAUGACUAUGGACGCAUGGCCGAGUCCACCACCAUUGAGUGUAUGUACAAGUUCUGCAGGGCAGUGGUGGCAAUGUUUGGACCUCAAUACUUGCGAUCACCCAAUGCUGAAGACACUGCUCGGAUCCUAGCACAGAAUGCAGCAAGAGGAUUUCCUGGUAUGCUUGGAAGCAUCGACUGCAUGCAUUGGAAAUGUAAAAACUGUCAAUUUGCUUGGCAGGGGAUGUACAAAGGCGCCAAAGGCGGUUGUAGUGUCGUACUUGAGGCAGUGGCCACACACGACCUCUGGAUUUGGCACUCCUUUGGUAUGCCAGGAACUCACAAUGAUAUCAACGUACUGCAGUGCUUCCCUGUCUUUGCCAAGCUUGUUGAAGGUCAUGCUCCUCCUGUGAACUUCGAGGUCAAUGGGCGCCACUACAACAAGGGAUACUACCUGGCAGAUGGCAUCUAUCCGAGAUGGUCCACGGUGAAGACAAUCUCAAACACUGUGCCAGGAGGCAAGAACUCCUACUUUGCCAAGUGUCAGGAGGCUUGCAGGAAGGAUAUCGAGCAGGCAUUUGGUGUGCUUCAAUCUCGAUUUGUUGUUGUCCGGUACCCCGCUCAGACCUGGUUGAAAGAUCAAAUGUGGGAGGUCAUGACUUGCUGUGUCAUCUUGCACAACAUGAUCAUUGAGAGCGAGCAGAAAGAGUCAGUGUUUGACACUGAGCCAUAUUACAGGCAGGGUCCUCUUGCCCAAGUUGAUCACCAGCUACCGGCAACCUGGACUGUCUUCCUCAAUAUGUGUCAGAAGAUCCAAGACCCACAGGUGUAUCAACAACUGCAGCAAGAUGUGGUGGAGCACCUAUGGAAGCUCAAGGGCAACGCCUAGCUCAACGUGUGAUGAAAUAUGAGUUUUUAUUAUUUGUUGAACUAUUUAAUUUAUAUUGAUUUUCUGUGAUGAACUAUGUGAUUAAAAAUAGCUUAUGUUGAAUUUGUGCCAAGUAC